rnacentral:rRNA from 1 species
AUACGGAGGAUGCAAGCGUUAUCCGGAUUUAUUGGGUUUAAAGGGUGCGUAGGCUGUGUAUCAAGUCAGUGGUGAAAGACCGGGGCCCAACCUCGGAAGUGCCAUUGAUACUGAUAUGCUAGAGUACCCCUGCCGUGGGAGGAAUGAGUGGUGUAGCGGUGAAAUGCAUAGAUAUCACUCAGAACACCGAUUGCGAAGGCAUCUCACGAAAGGGCAACUGACGCUGAGGCACGAAAGCGUGGGGAUCAAACAGGAUUAGAUACCCUGGUAGUCCACGCAGUAAACGAUGAUGACUAACUGUCGGCGAUAUACCGUCGGUGGCCAAGCGAAAGCGAUAAGUCAUCCACCUGGGGAGUACGACCGCAAGGUUGAAACUCAAAGGAAUUGACGGGG